rnacentral:rRNA from 1 species
AUGGCUUCUGCUCCUUGUCUUAGCUUACUGGUGCUCGUGGCAAUGGCCUCCGCGGCAUCGGCGCAGCUGUCGCCGACGUUCUACCUCGCAUCGUGCCCGAGCGCGUUGUUCAUCAUCCAAACUGCGGUCCAGGCCGCAGUGAAUAGCGAGCCCCGCAUGGGGGCGUCGCUGGUCCGGCUUCACUUCCACGACUGCUUUGUCGAUGGAUGUGACGGGUCCGUUCUGUUGGCAGACACGGGGAGCUUCGUCGGCGAGCAGGGGGCUGCUCCCAACGCCGGUUCCAUUCGAGGAAUGAACGUCAUCGACAACAUCAAGACCCAGGUCGAGGCCGCCUGCACGCAGACCGUCUCCUGCGCCGACAUCCUCGCCGUCGCCGCCCGUGACUCCGUCGUUGCGCUGGGAGGGCCAACAUGGCCUGUUCUUCUGGGGAGGAGGGACUCCACGACCGCAAGCAAGACCAAUGCAGAAAAUGACCUCCCACCUCCUACCUUCGACCUCCAAAACCUCACGACCGCGUUCGCCAACAAGCAGCUCAGCAUAACAGACAUGGUUGCGCUCUCAGGCGCCCACACGCUCGGACAAUCGCAGUGCCGGUUUUUCAGGAACAGGAUCUACAACGAGGCCAACAUCAACACGGCCUUCGCGACGGCGCUCAAGGCCAACUGCCCCCAGUCCGGCGGCGACAGCAGCCUGGCGCCGCUGGACACAGCGACGCCCAACGCUUUCGACAACGCCUAUUACAGCAACCUGAUUUCGCAGAAGGGGCUCCUACACUCGGACCAGGCGCUGUUCAAUGGCGGCGGUGCCGACAACACGGUCAUGAGCUUCGCGUCCAGCGCAGCGACAUUCAACAACGCCUUCGCCACAGCCAUGGUGAAGAUGGGGAACAUUGCGCCAAAGACUGGGACGCAGGGGCAGAUCAGGCUCGUCUGCUCCAAGGUCAACUCGUAA